GACGAACGCUGGCGGCGCGCUUAACACAUGCAAGUCGAACGGAAAGGCCUGCUUUCCCUUGUGGAUUGCGGGUACUCGAGUGGCGAACGGGUGAGUAACACGUGAGUGAUCUGCCCCCAACUUGGGUAUAAGCCUGGGAAACUGGGUCUAAUUCCCGAUAGGACUGCAGGGUGGUGCCUGUGGUGGAAAACGAUUUUCUAGUGGUUGGGGAUGAGCUCGCGGCCUAUCAGCUUGUUGGUGGGGUAAUGGCCUACCAAGGCGGCGACGGGUAGCCGGCCUGAGAGGGUGGACGGCCACAUUGGGACUGGGAUACGGCCCAGACUCCUACGGGAGGCAGCAGUGGGGAAUAUUGCACAAUGGGCUGAAGCCUGAUGCAGCGACGCCGCGUGGGGGAUGACGGCCUUCGGGUUGUAAACUCCUUUCGACCGCGAGGAAGCCACCUGGUUGGAAGGGUGGUGACGGUAGUGGUAGAAGAAGCACCGGCUAACUACGU
rnacentral:rRNA from 1 species